rnacentral:rRNA from 1 species
UACGUAGGGUGCGAGCGUUAAUCGGAGUUACUGGGCGUAAAGCGUGCGCAGGCGGUUCGUUGUGUCGGUGGUGAAAGCCCCGGGCUUAACCUGGGAAUGGCCAUGGAAACAGGCGAACUGGAGUGUGGCAGAGGGGGGUGGAAUUCCGCGUGUAGCAGUGAAAUGCGUAGAGAUGCGGAGGAACACCGAUGGCGAAGGCAGCCCCCUGGGCUAGCACUGACGCUCAGGCACGAAAGCGUGGGGAGCAAACAGG